GUGCAGCAGUCGCGAAUACUCCACAAUGCGCGAAAGCGCGAUGGGGCUAUCCCGAGUGCCGUCCGCUGAGGAUGGCUUUUCUCCAGUGUAAGGAGCUGGAGGAAUAAGGAGAGGGCAAGUCUGGUGUCAGCCGCCGCGGUAAUACCAGCUCUCCGAGUGGUAGGGACGUUUAUUGGGCUUAAAGCGUCCGUAGCCGGCUCAACAAGUCCUCCGUUAAAUCCAGCGAUUCAAUCGUUGGACUGCGGGGGAUACUGUUGGGCUAGGGGACGGGAGAGGCCAACGGUAUUCCCGGAGUAGGGGUGAAAUCCUAUAAUUCUGGGAGGACCACCAGUGGCGAAGGCUGUCGGCUAGAACGAGCUCGACGGUGAGGGACGAAAGCGUGGGGAGCGAACCGGAUUAGAUACCCGCGUAGU
rnacentral:rRNA from 1 species